rnacentral:rRNA from 1 species
GACGAACGCUGGCGGCGUGCUUAACGCAUGCAAGUCGAACGGAGCACCCUUGACUGAGGUUUCGGCCAAAUGAUAGGAAUGCUUAGUGGCGGACUGGUGAGUAACGCGUGAGGAACCUGCCUUUCAGAGGGGGACAACAGUUGGAAACGACUGCUAACACCGCAUGACGCAUUUUGAUCGCAUGGUCGAAAUGCUAAAGAUUUAUCGCUGAAAGAUGGCCUCGCGUCUGAUUAGCUAGUUGGUGAGGUAACGGCCCACCAAGGCGACGAUCAGUAGCCGGACUGAGAGGUUGACCGGCCACAUUGGGACUGAGAUACGGCCCAGACUCCUACGGGAGGCAGCAGUGGGGAAUAUUGGGCAAUGGGCGCAAGCCUGACCCAGCAACGCCGCGUGAAGGAAGAAGGCUUUCGGGUUGUAAACUUCUUUUAAGUGGGAAGAGCAGAAGACGGUACCACUUGAAUAAGCCACGGCUAACUACGUGCCAGCCGCCGCCGUAA